AUGCAGCCUCGGGAACAGAACCCUGCACAGGCAAACUUGGCAGAACCUGGGCAGUGUCUGCAGCAGCAGUUAGGAAUCUGGGACUGGGAGCUGACUGUACUUGCAUUCCCAGGAGGACAAAUCAGGACCUUGAUUGCCAGGAAUAGUACCCAGAUUUAUGAUGCUGAGAAGGUAAAGCUGCAGCGUGAGCCCACCUGGAAUCCUUGUCAUAGGAGAACAGCACCAGGAGCAACCACGGACAGGCAGGUUCACCAGCACUCCAGUGCUCUGUGUGUUUUUGUGUCUGUUUGUGUGUCUCAUGAUUUUCAGGUUGUUUUUCAUAUCCCAUUGCAAAUGAGAAGUCAGCCUUUUUCAGACAAGUGUAGAAUCUAAUGGGCAGUGUGUUUGAAAACCUCAGCUGUUCCCAGGACACAGGUGAAUGAUACAAACGUGGCACAACAGGUGACACAUGGAGAUGGGCAUCUUGGAAAGAAAACAUCAAAGGGACCACACAGUGAUCAGGGAGGGCAAUUCACAGGGCCAGGGAGCUGGAGAUGUGUGUAAAGCCACCCUGUUCUUCACAUAGUCCCAGCAAGCUUCAGUUCACAAAGAAAGUAGCUGGAAAAAUUACCCAGAAAUAGAUGACCUUCCAAAAGGCCUCUAAUAUACAAUUACCUGAUGUUCACUGAAGUGGUUCACGUGCUUCCCACUCUAAAUGAUUUUCUAGGUUCACCCAUGUGUGAAAAGGGGUCUGAUUUUAUGGAGGAGGGCAAUGGAGGAAAGAAACUUCAGACAGAAGAAAAAUACGCCAGGGAAUUUUACUAGUUGUUUGCUUCAAGGGAAAAAAAGGGCAAAUAGAUGCAGCCACCUCAAAGUCACCUUUUGACUUUGACCUUUAAAAGAAAGAAGCAUGGGAGAAGGCUCAGGUAUUGGCAGCACUUGACAGAAGGUGUUCCGUGGAGAUAGGUAGGAAAUUUAGGAUCCAGUGGAAUUUGCUUUCUUAGCCAGAUGACAAGUUCUUUUUUUCCCUGCAGUACAACAUAAUUAUUACGACCCCUGUUUUCCUUGCUGUCUUUUCUUUCCUUCUGCCCUGGGUCAUCUGGCACAGGAGAUCCUUGCCUGUGCUCAUGACAGGGCUGGCCAUGCUGCUCUGCAGAGUUUCAGCUCUGAUCCUGGACCAAAACAAGUGAAUUAUCUGGGGCUGCAAUCUAUAGUGGGCUUUAGGUGAAAUACAUUUUCAAGGAAAUUAUUUCUGUGGUUGGCACAAAAGUGCCUCUCUCCUGCACCUUUCCUGUGGCAGCUGUGCCCAGGUGCUCAGAGCAGUCUGGCUUCAAUAGCUCAGUGCUCUCUUCACUGCCCCAACCCCCAGAAACAAAGGGGGAAGGGGGCAGAGACCACCCCCCCGUGGGAAAACAGCAUUCAAAAACCCAAAGACUUCUUGAAACCAGGGAAUGGCAUUUCCACAUAUGAUGAGAGAGCACAGUGGGCAAUAGAAACUAUGUUUGUAUGGAAGAAAAUUAUUUUAUAUAACCUUGGAAUGUAAACAUUUUGAUGAACAAAAGCAAGUGACAGUCCCUUCCCCCAUCUGCAUUAUCUGACAAAACAAACAAAGUCCCUGAGACAGGUCAGACAGACAAGAGCAUUAAAAAAAUGGCACUUGUUGCACUGAAGCACUUUUCAUUUGGUCAAGUAUCUAAGUAUCUUUGUGCGGAAAAAAACCCAAAGUUGAGCUCUGGAUCCAAAGCAUUAGACUUGCAAUUCCACUGAAUUUUGUGACUUUGGAAAUGUUCUAUUGUUUUUCAGUACGAGCUCAUGAACCUGGAAUGAAAUUGUCCUUUGGGGACAAAACAAAAUAGAUGAAAAAUAAAUACUCAUGUCAGGUCUGGAAACCAAGGGAGUUCUGAGCCACGGUCUUUAAUAUGUUUCUUUUCCAUCAAGUUCAGGAGUGGCUUUGAGCAGGAUUUGCUGCAGUUGUGGGAGACAGGAAAGAAACAUAUUAAAAAUAAAAGAAGAACCCUGAAUAAGAUUUUUCAAAAAGCCAUUUAUAUCUCCUAUAAGACAUCCAGAUGCAAAAGUGAAUGGUGAGUCAGGAGUGCACUCAGGCACACAGUUCCAGCAGCAGCUCCCAGGCUCCUCUGAUUGUGGCUCUGCUGGAAGGCAGGUCAGCUUGAGCUCACAGCAGCAUCAUUGUGGGAUGAUGUGGAGGUCCUCAUGCUCCUGCCUCCUCCUUUUGGAGGCUACACAAUGUGCACACAUUGUGUUCCUGAAUUCAUGCCUCUUGUGUCGAUUUGUUUGUCUGGUCCUUAAAUUUCUGUGUUCAUCUCCAGUGCCCAGAGCUCUGCCAAGUCUCCUGCAGCUUGCUGAGACCAUGGGCAGGUGCCUCAGCUCCCCACAGCGACUGUGCCCACGGCUCUGCUGCCUCUGAUCCCGAGGGGCUGAGGAGCUGCCACCAGGGUGUGAGGAGUGCAGCCACACACAGCUGCACUCCCCAUGCUUGGAGGGCAGGGUGCUGACAAGCUAACCAUGGCAGAGAGACUGAAAGAUGGAGACUUUCUCCUGGAGCCUGCUUUUAACUCUCCAUGGCCCUGCUUGGGAAUGGGCUGUAGUCACUACAUGCCUUUAGCUUGAACUUGCACUUCAUCAGUCUGGGAGGAAGAAUGGAAGAAAUGUUCUGAGAGAAAAUUCCAUUUAUGUCUUCUGCCACCUGCUACUGGCAUAUGUGAGCUGCUGCAUGCCAGUAGCUUAUGGCAAAGAUAACAUCAGUGUGGAGAAAAUUGUGCGGUGCUGAAAAUGAGACUCAUGUUCCAGAUGACCCGAUAGCUCAGUGCCCGCUGGGGCCAGGUGUGGGGCCAAGCUCUGCUCACCAGCACUCACACAGACAGUGUGAUGGCCUUGCUGGAAUCCCGGAAAUCACAUAUUUUAGGGCAAGCAAAAGGACAAAAGCUGAAAAGCUUCUAUUCACAUCCAGCCCCAAAUCAGGCUUUGCUGCAUAUAUCUCCAGCCUAAUUAGUAUGAGCCAGGGUGAGGGAGGCUGACAGGGAACAGUUGCAAAGUGCCCGCUAAAGCUGCUGCUCUGGGAACUGACAUAAUGGCAGAGUAGUCAUAGUGGGCAGCUCUUCAGAAGUAAACAUCCAUUGACAGUAGGAUCAUAGAAAUAUUUGAGGCACUCAACAGCAAAGUCCUUGUUGCUUUUCACCCUCGUGCCACCUGGAGUUUUUCUCAGUGAGGGAAUUCAUGGUGUUUUGUGUGAACAGACAGGUAAUUGCGAGCAACUACUUAAAUAGCCCUAAUUAUGUUUAGAGAAGGCUGGUCCCUGAAAGCAGAUAGGAUCUGUGAAUAAACAUAUUGACACAGGUGACCACCUGAUCAUGCACAUGGACCUAAAAAAAGCCACUUUGCCAAGUUUAAAUACCUCAAAGUAAAGCUGAGCAGCCACCAGACGCCAGUGGCCGUGCCUGACCAAAGCAGCAGGACAAGGGGCUCAGCAGGGGCAGUGUGGCCACAGCACGUCCUGCCAGCCCGAGAUGUCC
ensembl:lncRNA